GAAAGAGAAGUAUUUAGUACAAGUGAUUUCCAAUCAUUAAGAGGAAUAUUUUAA
rnacentral:tRNA from 1 species